GUUGUUCUCAUAUUGACAUUCAAAUUAACAGAUUUCUGCAUUAUUCAGUAACAAAAUGAACCAAUUGCCUUGGGAACUGCUCAGGCAUAGCUCAAUAAGGGCUUGACUCAAAUUCAUUUAUUAGGACGAAGUCGACAUCAAGCUUGUUUAAGUUCUUUAGACAAACUUUAUCGAGCUAAAGCAUAUGGGCUUGAUUAAGUACCAAAGCUUCGCCAUGCUCUUUUAUAUACAAACUAGUCAAUAGCUGGCCUUGUGUGGGACCUUUUAUAUUAUCAUGUAUCAAAAAUUUUUAAGAAAAUAUAAAUAAAAAUUAUAAUCUUUCAAAUCACCCAAAAUUUUAAAUAAAUUACAAAUAAAAAAGUGUAGUUAAAAUAUAUACAAUUUAAAUGAAAAUUUUAGAGUGUUGCAAGGAAAUUUAAUUUAUGGAUUUUUCGAAUAUAUUAUGAAAAUGAGAAUUGUAAUGAGUAAAUAUAACAUUACUUUAAUAAAAC
rnacentral:misc_RNA from 1 species